rnacentral:lncRNA from 1 species
UCUUGUAUUGAAACAAUGGGUUCUGAAAUAAAAAACUUGAUGUGUGGAAUUAAUCUGUUGCUGAUUUGACUAUACCAGGUGCAAAAGUGUCAAGAAUUCAAUCUUCUUGCCACACAUGGAGUUCUUGAUUGUUUUACUCUUCAUCAUCAUCUUCCUAUAAUGGUCAGGUGUCGUAGACAACUGUAAAUAUUGACCAGGCAUUUUUAUUUUCUCUUUUGGAGAUCCCAGAUCAUCAUGCAAACAUACAAAUUGGAAACAAACUUCUUUAUGAGAAGCAAAAUGAAAAACAACCUUACAGCAAAGAAAAAAUUUGC